rnacentral:rRNA from 1 species
CCUACGGGAGGCAGCAGUGAGGAAUAUUGGUCAAUGGGCGCUAGCCUGAACCAGCCAAGUAGCGUGAAGGAUGACUGCCCUAUGGGUUGUAAACUUCUUUUAUAUGGGAAUAAAGUGCAGUAUGUAUACUGCUUUGCAUGUACCUUAUGAAUCAGGAUCGGCUAACUCCGUGCCAGCAGCCGCGGUAAUACGGAGGAUCCGAGCGUUAUCCGGAUUUAUUGGGUGUAAAGGGAGCGUAGGCGGGUUGUUAAGUCAGUUGUGAAAGUUUGCGGCUCAACCGUAAAAUUGCAGUUGAUACUGGCAUCCUUGAGUACAGUAGAGGUAGGCGGAAUUCGUGGUGUAGCGGUGAAAUGCUUAGAUAUCACGAAGAACUCCGAUGGCGAAGGCAGCCUGCUGGACUGUAACUGACGCUGAUGCUCGAAAGUGUGGGUAGCAAACAGGAUUAGAUACCCCAGUAGUC